rnacentral:rRNA from 1 species
AUGCUAUUUGCAAACAGGAACUUUUUUGUGAAAUCUCUUUACCUACAUCUCAUUAAAACUAAUGCGGGCUUCCCACAGUUAUUCUUGUGGAAGGUGAAAGUACCUGCAAAAGUUAAGUUUUUCCUGUGGCUAUUGAAUAAAAGAAGUAUUCUAACUAGAGAUAACCUGCUAAAGAGGGGUUGGAAGGGGGACAAGCAGUGCAUGUUAUGUGGAAGAGAGGAGAACAUUGAUCAUCUUUUCUUUUCCUGUUCUGUGGCUAGGCUCAUCUGGAGUCUGGUUGGAUGUGCUUUUGACUUAAAAUAG